UUUUGCCAUUGAGAUGGUUAUGACAAUCUCCAUCAAAAUUUAGAACUUCAGAUGAUCUUUGUAUUUUCCAUGUGCACGCCCUGGAGGUAAGAAGCACAAUUUAGAAUUUAUCCAAAGGUGUGUUUAUCCAAAGAAGCCAGUGUAAGGAGUGCUUGGUCAGUUUGAUGCUCUUGUGGUUACCACAUUGCUGAGGAAAUACUCUGCUGUAUUCUGUAAAGUGUGAUUGGUUAAUGCAGUUGUGCCAAAGCAUGAAUAACUGGUCAUCAUCCACUGGGAUAAGACUGAAUCUUCUAGAUAAUCAAAGACAGGUGAAUGUAUUAGUUAUUACUGUUAUCUGAGUAUAGAUUAAGAAAGAAAUCAUAAAAUAAUUUUGGUUUGAAAGGUCUCCUUGGAGACAUAUAGUCCAGCAUCCCCAUUCAAUUCAGAAUCCAUUAGAUCAUGUUAUUCAGUAGUAUUUUCUGUGGUGUUUUUUAAUAUCUCCAAAGACAUUGAUCCCACAGCUUCAUUCAGUUCCUGUUCCUAAGCUUGACCACCCUCAUGGUGAUUUGCUUUUUCUAACAUUUAAUAGAUUUUUUUAUUGCAGCUGAUACCUGUGAGUCUGGUAAUAUGUCUAAACUACACACCGACUGCUCCAAUUGUGUGUACCUUCAGCCAAAGAAAGGUAUACAUGAUAGAAGGCUUUCCAUAAUACUUUCAUUUAUCUAACAUUAUGACCAUUUUCUUUCUCAGGUUCUGCCUUGACCAGCUGGUUUUCAUCCAUGAGCUGAUCUGAACCUUCUGUGCUGUCUUGAUGUAGACAGGUUGUGCCAAGAGAUGCACAGGGCUAUGUGAAGAUGAAGUUGAUUCCUCUCCUGACUGAAGUUAUCAGCAGUUCAGUCAUAACGGUCACUCCAGUUCUAAUAUGGCAUCUUUAAGAAGUGAAGAAGGAUGUUUGUGAGAUUCACAGCCAGGAGUACAGCCUGGAGUGUGUUUCCUGAAUUACCUAAUACUCUGUUGACAAUGCUAAAGAAGCAGUUUUAGCACGUUUGUUGUAAAGAAAUUUCAAGGUUCUUUCAUAUCUAUUCAUUAGUCUAAGAAAUUACAUUGUCUCCUUUUUUUUAAGUGAAUAGUUUAAGAUACAGUCCUGUCUUUAUUUGUCCUUCCAUUUAAUUUUAACUGAAACAACAUUCAAAAGGAGGCCCAAAAAAGUGAUGAUACUGCCAAUAAUGUCCUGGUAAUGAUAUAUGUAUUUAAGGCAGAAUUUAUUUGACUCAACGUUGGUGAUUACUAUGUAGGCGUCCACAACACGGCAAGUUGCCCAUGAUGAUUUUAUAGUCUUUGGAGGGCUUGUUACUAUGUCAGUGGAGUCUAGGAUGCAAUUCAGACCUUCGAAAACAGAGAGGUGAACUGCAGCUAAAGCCCACUGAGCACAGAGGGAGAUGAAUCAGCUAUCUUAGAUAGAAACACCUAAAUGUAGAUGGGAUAAGUAGCACUUCUAAUCUGAAGAUGGGAUUUAGAUUGAGUUGAACCAAAGAUUACUGUAAGGAAAGCAAGUUUCAUUUAGUUUAGGUCUUUUUCCUGUAUGAUACUGAAACAUGAAUUUUCAAAUCCCCCUGAAGGUCAAAUCCAGAUUGGUUCACAAAUUAUUAUUUUUUUGUGAUUGUUUCACAAAAAAAUUCAACAAGGUUUCAGUGUGUGGCUUUACAAAACUUUUAUUCCUUAAAUAAUAAUUACUUGUAAUAAAGUUUAAAAUUAUCUGUAAAAGAAUGUAAAAUCCACAUAAACUCUAGCUCUAGUUUCUACCAGCAAGCAAGAUCCCAUUUGAAGUAUUCUUGGAUACCAUAUUUGAGGUGAAUGUCAGUGUAGUGGCACUUGCCUUCAUAGAGCUUAUGGCCAGAAAAAACUAUCACUCUUCUGCUUCAUUCUCCUAUGUUAUGACAUACAUAGAAUUUAGUCUUCUGCAUUGAGUCUAGUAACCUAUAUUUGACUUAAAUAUGUCAGUAAUGCAACUAAAAUAAACACAUCACCUUUCAGUCUUCAGUAAAAUAAAUAAACAACAUUUUUAAAUCUCCCAUCCUUUAAA